GGGUCGAUGGCGUAGCUGGUUAUCGCAUCUGUCUAACAUUUAGGUGCACAGAAGGUCCUCAGUUCGAACCUGGGUCGACUCA